GGUGUAUAAUUAAGUGGGCUAGCUUAAGGGGUGUUGUACAAGGGAAUUGUAGCCCAAUUGAAAAUUUGAACGAUUAGGAGAUAUCAGUAAGAGAGGGUUAGGGUUGCUAAUAGAAAACAUAAGCACGGCAUAGAGAUAGCAAAGGAAGUUUUGGUAGAGAAGCAGAAAAAAAGUCAUUAGGAGCACCGGUUGGAAAAGUUGAUCGGGAAAAAUUUAGAGCAACCUUCGAUCCAAAGUGAUGCAUUUCAUUGUGUUGCAUGAAUUUCAUUUUUGGUGACGACCUGGAUUUGGCGAAACAGUGACGAAGGCUUGUGCCUGUUUGAAUGCCUCUAAUAAUUGGCAAUUGACGAUGGGGGCUGAAGCCCUGGGUACCACAUGCAUUUGCAUCUUGUCGAGUCUCAUUUCAUUUUGUGUGAUUAUACGAUUAUGUAACUGUGAAUGUGAAAUUGUGAAGUGAAUUGGAUGGUAACAAUUAUACCGCAAGUGAUGAAUUUUAUGACCGUUAAGCUCAAUAUACUAUUUAUCAUCACUUUAUUUAUAUUGUUUGAUAUUGAAUGAUUUCUUUGUUUA